UGUGAUACCAGCGGAUACACAUAUAUCCGGCGCUCGGUCGCCCACGGUGGUUUCGGCCAAGCUGGCAAUGGAGUAGAUCGGUGGCAAGGACAACACCCAAUGUAUCCUCGUAUCCAAUGUAUCCAAUGUCCUGGGACGGAUCGUAUGUGAAAACUUCCCGGGUUCUUUUCUUGCCUGGAAAUUAUGCUGGAUUCACAGAAUUGCUUCAAUUGAUGGCCAAAUGGUCUAGACAAUGUCAGCCUACUUCAGGGAAUCGACUAUCAAAUCAGGGCAACCAACCCCAGGAAUUUUCAUGUCUAGCCUGUCGUAAAUAUAUUGGGUCCCAUCUCACCACACAGCUGUCCCUAUUGAGGACCUGUUAAAUGGUUACUUUUAUUGUAUUAAAACCAAAUGGCCAAAUGACAAGAUUUUAGUCCAAUUUGAUUCUAAGAUCUAGUAAAACAUAUCAAAAUAGUUCAUUUAUAUCGUAAAAUUAAUGCAUAUUUUAAAAAUUUUUCCAGCUAUUGCAGGUAA